ACCACUUCAGAGAGGAAAAGGAAGGGGUGAGCUUCAAGGUAUUUUGUUUUAACUUCGCAUGUUCUCUUUCUUUUUUUUCCCGUAAGGUUCUUUCUAUGGCAAAUGAUGAUAUGUGACUGUUAUGCACAGCAUAUUAACUCAGUCAACAUUCUUGUAGUAAAAGUCAUUUUUUGUGCUGUUUAUGGUUCAACUUCUGAGUGGCAUUAAGCUAUUUUUAACUUCUAUUUGUGGUUUGCUUGCACCAAACAAUGUACAAGAAAUUAUGGUAACAACUAGUUUUUGUUGAGCUAAAGCCUUUAGUGCAAGAUUUUAGUUUUUGAUUCUUAAUUACCUGGUAAUUAACCAACCAUUUGAAGCGCCAGCAAGAUUUAGGAGCAUUUUGUGUAUUGGCUGUUUAGGAGCCAACUAUUGGCUGUUUGAUUU
rnacentral:misc_RNA from 1 species